AACUUGUUACAAUGUGUCACGUGGUUCUGGCAUCGAUUAAGAACGCAGCGAAAUGCGAUAAGUAAUGUGAAUUGCAGAAUUCAGUGAACCAUCGAAUCUUUGAACGCACAUUGCGCCCGGCAGUAAUCUGCCGGGCAUGCCUGUCCGAGCGUCAUUUCUGCCCUCGAGCCUGUCCAGCAUCUAGGUGCUGUUCCGGCCCGGCGUUGGGGCACUACGGGAAGCCUCGUGCUAUCCCCCGUAGGCCCCGAAAUGAAGUGGCGGUCCUGCCGCGGCUCCCCCUGCGUAGUAUUACAGCUCGCUUCGGGACCCGGUGGAGGCCUGCCGUCAAACCUUACUCUCUAAGUUUGACCUCGGAUCAGGUAGGGUUACCCGCUGAACUUAAGCAUAUCAAUAAGCGGAGGCU
rnacentral:misc_RNA from 1 species